ACGCUCGACACCUACGGGAGACAGCAGUUGGGAAUAUUGGACAAUGGAGGAAACUCUGAUCCAGUGACGCCGCGUGAAGGAAGAAGGUCUUCGGAUUGUAAACUUAUUUUGUCAGGGAAGAAAAAUGACUGUACCUGAAGAAAAAGCACCGGCUAACUACGUGCCAGCAGCCGGACGGUAAUCUGAGGCGGGCUGGACAAGGC
rnacentral:rRNA from 1 species